AGUAGAAUAUCUUUGGUUGAAUGAGUGGAGUCGCAAACGAUGAUGGCCGCCAUGAUAAACAAGAACUGCCAGAUACUUUGAUUCGUCAGACUCUGGCUCUAAAAUUAUAUUGGACUUUUGUGUUUCUUCUUAUUUUAGCAGGUCGAUCUUUUGCUGAAGAUGGGCAUUAUGAAAUGGAGGAGUUUCUGAAAAGGGAGCAUUCAUUGUCAAAGCUCUAUCAAGCUCCUCCCAUUAGGAAUUGAUGGGCGACGCCAUGGUAACCACAGAGCAGGUGCGCCUCACAUCUGACAUGCAGAGCAAGCAGAGGGCAGUGUGGAGCCACAUUCCCUGUCACCUAAGGGCCUUGGAGUUACAAAUGCACUUUAAGAUUCAUAGCCAAGGAAUGAAGAAUCUUAAUGGGGAUGUACUGGCGAUUUGGUACACCAAGGAGCACAUGCAGGAAAGACCUCUUCACAGGGCUGGGUGUGUUGGUGGACUCGUACCCCAAUGAGGAAAAACACCUGGAGGCGCAGAAGAUGAGGUACACCACACGCACACAGAGGAUCUACCCCUUUGUGUUGGCGAUGGUGUCUGUACCGCCAUGCUGCGCAACCACAAUCACAACACUUUCAUCUUCAUCAGAUACGUCCGCUGCAGGCCCACGAUUAUGAUUGACAUGGAUGGAGAGACUGCCUGGACAUACCGGGGGUGCGGUUGCCUCAAGGGCUACUACUUUGGAUCCUCUGCCAUCACAGGAGAUCUCUCUGUGGGUGAGAAUGAAGAGGGAUGGAGUAAAAUUGCCAUGUUCUUCACCAUCCUCUUAUCCAUGCUGGGCUGUUUCCUGCUCAUCGUGGUCGGCCUCGUCGUUUACAGCCACUGGAACAAGAACAGACAAACGCUUCUACUGAGAGGAAGGGAGGCCUGUCAUCAUAACCUCUAUUACUGCAGACUAAGGACAAAACUGCACUAAGACACUGAAAUGACUGACGAGACUGAAAUGAGACUCCUAAGACACUAGGCCACUGAAAUGACUGACAAGACUGAAAUGAGAACAAGACAGAGACACUGACCUCUCAAUGUAAACCAAUAUGCUGACAGACAAGCGGUACCCCUGGGACAACACUAGUGAAUCCUGGGAAAGACUGAGUAAUAGAUGGAUGCAUUUAAACACUACAGCAACAAACCACACUGACCCCUGCCAUAAGUAGAGAUAGACUGAUACCUUUUUACUCCCUGUCCCUACCCCCACCCUCACCAACCAGGCCUUACUCUACACACAAAUGUACUGACAAUGUGAAAAUUACCUGUUGUCAUAGUCCAGCGACAAAUUGUCCUCCAGGGGGGUAAUGGACAAAAUCUGAGGUGACACUAUAUCCAAAAAUACUUAUUUAGACAUGCCCUAGCUGCAUGUGAAAUUUGGUGUCUUUUAUCACAAAACACACCAUUUCCCCCCUGCUGGCUACACUGGACUCUGCCAUUGCUGGUUUUGUUUUUGUCUUUUUGGGGGUCUGGAGAGAUUGAUUUAUACUGACAGAUGAGAAUGUCAAAGGGACAAAGUAUCCGAUGUGUUCUUUCUCGAACAGCCCACAUAACCAGCUCCCAUUAGCAGAACACUGGCAAUUGAUGCGUCACUUUUCUGCUUCGCUCUAGAAACAGCAUUAGGAUAGUUACAUGUAUGUCAUAUUUGACUCUAUGGCGCUUGCAAUCGAUGUAAGUCUUUGUGCAUUUCAAUUGGUUCAGACGGUCUCAUACUCUAUUGGGGGCUGCAGGUAGCCCAGUGGUUAGAGCGUUGGGCCAGUAACCAAAAGGUUGCUGGAUCAAGUCCCCAAGCCGACGAGGUAAAAUUCUGUCAUUCUGCCCCAGUUAACCCACUGUUCUCCAGUCACUGUGGAUGUUGAUUAAGGCAGCCCCCCGCACCUCUCUGAUUCAGAGGAGUUGUGUUAAAUGCUGAAGGCAUUGUUGGCUUUCCCUUAUUUUGUUAGUUUGAAAGAUGUAUGGUCGCAAAUGGGUUUUAUCAUGUCUUGUCAAUGUACAAUAGUUACUGUUACUGAAGGUAAUUGAGUUCAUUUUAACUCUGUCAUGAUUGUCACAAUUAGGUAGUUUGUUGAUUUUAUUGUGUAUAUGACUGUAUGAAAUGGAAAGGUGAACAAUCCCUCUCCCUUCAGGUUGCAUGUUCUUAAGGGAAUUUAUUUAAAUUAGUUGCCUGUUCUUUUUAUUGUUCCUACUACCGUUUUAACUUUGUCUACAUUGCCUGUGUCUUCUAAUUGUUAUGUGUGGUAUACUCAAAUUUGUAACUUAUGACAUGCCUCACAUUCUUGCACAUGCUAUCUAUAGUUAUAUAUUACAGGACGAGUCUGAGUUUGGGACUUUCCACAGAAAGUAUUGGGUUGGUUGAUACUGCGGAAGAGAGCACAAGUGAGGUUUUUCUGCAUCUCAUGUGUGGUGGAAAAAAACACUACUUUCAAGUCAGACACUUUGUUUCACUGUGUUAGGCUGUGCUCCCUUUGCUUUUCUGUACCGUUUUGUGUCAUAUUACCAAAUAGCCCUCGCCAGUAGUAUGGAUUCCAGAACAACGUGUACAUUGCAGUUUCUCCCAGAAUCGACCUCAGAAUGCAACCAAUAACAUUUCAGUAAUUUAAGGAUUUAUAUAAUCCCUGCUCUGAAAGGGAUAGUUGGGAAAUGGGACACUGUAGAUGCAAUCCAUUAUAAUUCCACAUGUUCUGCAAUAUAAACUCACUGAGCCUCACACUGAACCCUGUGUUUUGUCUCCUAAUGAACAAUGUUUGAAGACCUUGGUGCACUGCUAUCAAUUACCAAUGCAGCCUUUUAUCCCUCUUGUUAUCUCAGUGUGGGGCGGCAGGUAGCCUAGCAGUUAGAGCAUUGGGCCAAUAACUGAAAGGUUGUUAGUUAGAAUCCUUGAGCCGACUAGGUAAAACAAAUGUCCUUGAGCAAGGCACUUAACCUUAAUUGCUCCCAGGUUGCUGUCAACGGGUGUCUCAGGAGUGGGCUGUGCAAAAACAAACUAGUUUUACAUGUGAAACAGGACAAAUAUAAGCGCCCCCUAUUUGACAUUUUUCCACUGAGGAACGUAAAAUAGGGGAGAUCCUUUACUAUGCUGAUGGUACACUUGUUUUUGUUGCCAUUAAAGAACGAUCUUGAGUGA